rnacentral:lncRNA from 1 species
AUGUCUUGCUCCAAGCCCUGCCUGUUUGCGCAGCAGCUGCACGGCCGUGCCUCCCAUCACUCCAGCAGUGCAGCCCCCGGGACAGCAAAGCACUCGGCCUCGCAUCCCUGCUGUUUAGACCGAUCCGUCAUGCCGCAAAAGCACCAAGGAGCCAGCAGCUCCCUUUGUGCACUGGACGCUGACGCUCCCCGUGGCACAGUGAGCCGGCGAGCACCAUGCAACGCCGCUGCCUCUUCUCUGCCAUGUGGUGCUGGGCUCCCCCCGGGGCCGCAGGCUGCAAGAGCAAACGGGCUGUCCCUGGUAGUGGAGGACACGUCCCCUGGGACUCCGCACUGGAGGGGGAAAGGCUGUGCUGGCUGGGGAGAGGGCGCUGCAGCAGACGAUGUAGCGGGGUUCACCAUCGCUAUGGGUGCAGUCACCACUAGUGCAGAGGGAUGGGGCCGGGACCUCUGCCUCCUCUGAGCCCCACGUGGCGGGUGUGCAGGGAGUGCAUUCUGUGCAGGGCCGUACCUGCACUCUCCCAGCCAAAGCCGAGGGCCUGGUCUCUGGGCAGGCCCAGACAAGGCCCAAAGGAACAGUCACUGGGAUGGGGGCUGCACAUCCACAUAUACGUGCAUCCAGCAACCCCCGUGCCCAUGUAAGAGGAGGGGCUGGGGCUGCUAGUCCAACCCACGGACUGGCAGAACAUGGGCUGGGCUGUGGUCGGGGUGGGAGGCAAGGCACAGCCGCUUAGUUCGCAGAGCUCCCACCGCCAAUCCCAACGGUGACUUUGCCAGUGGCAGUCCCUACCAUCCCUCGCACCAGAGCUAAGCAGGGCCCCUGACACACACUGCCAGCCCUGCCGGGGAGCCAUGCACAGCCCCAGCCGACACUGCAGCUCUGCAAACCGACCGCCCUCGCUCCAGAGGGGACAGGCCAUGCAGGGAGCCGGGACAAUGCCAGGUGAAAUGACCCAGCCAGGAGCAGCGGGAGGCAUACAGAGCCAGGGGCCCGGGGGGUGGGGAGGAGGAGAUGGAGGGAGAGGUUAACGUGCUUUUCACGCCCCACAGUCACAGUCCAACAGUGAAACGCACGUGGGAGCGAGAGCCGUAGGCUUUGCCAGCACCACAUGGGGGAGAGGAGCCGAGCAUGGUGCCCGUUUUGCUGCCUCUUAAUCUCUGCCAAACGCACAGCACUGCCCAGGCACAACAGGAUCGAAAACAAAGCAAAUUCAAACAGAGCUGCCACACGCACACGCCCCCACCCGCCCCAAAGUCUGCAAGCAGGCAAGGAUAGUGAUAGGGGGGCGGGGGGGGGCUGAUUGCUCACCUCAGCGUUUGGUCUAUAGGCCCAAAAGGAAACAACCCCCUGAUUUCAAGGCUGCUCUCUGCUCCAUUUAGUCUCUUUUCCUUCGGGAAGGCAGAAUUGCACAAUUAUCCUAAGCCUCGAACUAAUAAAAAUAAAAAACAACAGCGACCUCGCCCCUCG